rnacentral:rRNA from 1 species
GACGAACGCUGGCGGCGCGCUUAACACAUGCCAGUCGAACGGAAAGGCCUGCUUUCCCUUGUGGAUUGCGGGUACUCGAGUGGCGAACGGGUGAGUAACACGUGAGUGAUCUGCCCCCAACUUGGGUAUAAGCCUGGGAAACUGGGUCUAAUUCCCGAUAGGACUGCAGGGUGGUGCCUGUGGUGGAAAACGAUUUUCUAGUGGUUGGGGAUGAGCUCGCGGCCUAUCAGCUUGUUGGUGGGGUAAUGGCCUACCAAGGCGGCGACGGGUAGCCGGCCUGGGAGGGUGGACGGCCACAUUGGGACUGAGAUACGGCCCAGACUCCUACGGGAGGCAGCAGUGGGGAAUAAUGCACAAUGGGCGGAAGCCUGAUGCAGCGACGCCGCGUGGGGGAUGACGGCCUUCGGGUUGUAAACUCCUUUCGACCGCGAGGAAGCCACCUGGUUGGAAGGGUGGUGAUGGUAGUGGUAGAAGAAGCACCGGCUAACUACGUG